AUUGAACGCUGGCGGCAUGCUUUACACAUGCAAGUCGAACGGUAACAGGUCUUCGGAUGCUGACGAGUGGCGAACGGGUGAGUAAUACAUCGGAACGUGCCUGGUAGUGGGGGAUAACUACUCGAAAGAGUAGCUAAUACCGCAUGAGAUCUACGGAUGAAAGCAGGGGACCUUCGGGCCUUGUGCUACUAGAGCGGCUGAUGGCAGAUUAGGGAGUUGGUGGGGUAAAGGCUUACCAAGCCUGCGAUCUGUAGCUGGUCUGAGAGGACGACCAGCCACACUGGGACUGAGACACGGCCCAGACUCCUACGGGAGGCAGCAGUGGGGAAUUUUGGACAAUGGGCGAAAGCCUGAUCCAGCAAUGCCGCGUGCAGGAUGAAGGCCCUCGGGUUGUAAACUGCUUUUGUACGGAACGAAAAGCCUGGGGCUAAUAUCCCCGGGUCAUGACGGUACCGUAAGAAUAAGCACCGGCUAACUACGUGCCAGCCGCCGCCGUAACAC
rnacentral:rRNA from 1 species